UAAAAAACUUUAAUAUUUUUUUUAUUUCUUUUUUGUUUUUCAUUUAUUUUCUCUUUGACUCAGUCUUCUUCAUUAUCCUUGAGCAGGCACAAACCCAAAAUUUGUUCAACCAACAAAUUUUUUUUUUUGCAAGCUCUAUUUCAUAUCUUUUUUCUUUCUUGCCUUCCACCACCACUAAAGGUUGGCUUGCCGGACUUUGAAAACGCCCAAGUCGAAGCCAUGGCGGGUGAGACUUAGCUACACACAAGGCCCAAACAUCACGGGGAGAGAGAAGCGGUAGAUUUGUUCAGAUCUUAUCGACAGCGAGUGGAGGUAGUCCACUUUUUUUGGUCAGAUCUCGUCGACAGAGAGUGCCAUGGAUGACGAAAGUGAUGAGCUCUUUUGUAACCAACAUAAACCACUCUUAAAGCCCACUCCCACACCAUCGUCGACGUCCACCGCACCAAGAAGAGGGAUGAAGAAAUUGGGGCUGGGUAGUGAGUACCAAAUCGUUUAAUUUCAGCUUAGCUAUGAACACCUCAACUCAAGUUUUGAGAUACUAUUGAGUAUGAGCUAAUUGUUUCCAACUUGAAGAGAGAAAGAAGAGGCUUGUCUUCCAGUGACUAGUAGUGAAUGAUGACAACAACAACAAUUCACAUACAAUUUUAAUUGCUUCAAAUGGCAGUAUUGAAGAUGCCUCUUCAUAUGUUGUUGAUUCAGACUCAGAUUAUGGUCGUUUGAUUCAAGCUCUAUUCUACUCUUCUUAAUUAAUUACUUUGAGGUUGGAGAUAUGCAAUCCAAUACUCUUGUCUUGAACCAUAUAUCUCUUUUACAGUGUUUAAUUGGAUAAAGAGUUUAAAACCAUUUCUCCAAUUGCUCAUCCAUCUUCUGAGGCUAUCUCUUCAUUAAUGUCUCCUGAUAUGGGGCAACAUAGAAUUGGAGGCCUUGGUAUGCAAUGCAAGGGGAAUGAACAAUAUGCUAUUCAUAACCAUUUAUUUGCUAUGGAA